AGUGAACGCUGGCGGUAGGCCUAACACAUGCAAGUCGAACGGCAGCACAGUAAGAGCUUGCUCUUACGGGUGGCGAGUGGCGGACGGGUGAGGAAUACAUCGCAAUCUACUUUUUCGUGGGGGAUAACGUAGGGAAACUUACGCUAAUACCGCAUACGACCUACGGGUGAAAGCAGGGGAUCUUCGGACCUUGCGCGAUUGAAUGAGCCGAUGUCGGAUUAGCUAGUUGGCGGGGUAAAGGCCCACCAAGGCGACGAUCCGUAGCUGGUCUGAGAGGAUGAUCAGCCACACUGGAACUGAGACACGGUCCAGACUCCUACGGGAGGCAGCAGUGGGGAAUAUUCGACAAUGGGCGCAAGCCUGAUCCAGCCAUACCGCGUGGGUGAAGAAGGCCUUCGGGUUGUAAAGCCCUUUUGUUGGGAAAGAAAAGCAGCAGGUUAAUACCCCGCUGUUCUGACGGUACCCAAAGAAUAAGCACCGGCUAACUUCGUG
rnacentral:rRNA from 1 species